ACUACAUUGGACUAAAAGGACUUCAAGGGGGCUCAUAGAUCCCAAGAGCCUACAUGACCAGGACUGAGCAGACAUCUGGCUUCUCUGUGGAGUUUUUCUUAUCACUGAGGGGGGUGGGGGGUUAGACUUAGGGUUUGUCUUCAUGAGCUGUUACAGAGAUGACUCCUCUUGGGUGUGAUGCCUCCCUCUGCCAAGGUGGGCAUCACCCACCCGCUUGCGUGGGAUCACCCAGCUGGAGGUGCUGAGAAGCAGCCCCUGGAUGCUCAAGGAAGAUGUGUUUGAUGCCGUCGUGAGAAGAUGCAGGUGUUUCCUGUUCCCUAUCCUCCUGCGAGACUGCUUCUGGUGAUCAUGCCGAGUGGGUGUGACCCUGAAACCCAGGAAGAAAGGCUGCCCGCUGAUACCCUGAAUUUAGCCCAGGGAGACCCAUUUUGGCCUUCUGUCCUCCAGCACUGUAAGGCAUGUGAACUGCCUCAGGAGUGACGGUCAUAGAAACCUGGAAGAACCCUGCCCUAGAAAAGUCACGCUGUGUCCCAGGUCAAGGUCUUGGGGCAGGUGGGAUUAGAGACCCAGGUCGACACGGCUGGGUUACCAACGUCCCCUUUUUGCAGAUGCAAAAACUAGGGCCCAGAGAGGUCGGAGAGCUGCCCGUGGUCACACAGCUCUGACGCGGCAGGGCCAGGACUCUACUGCAGGUUUUGCUGACGUCAGGAGGCCCAUUUUCAGACCAGGAAGCCAAGGCUCAGAGCAGUUCCGACCCACAGAGGCUGGUGUCCGAACCCACCUGCUUGUCCAGGGCUCUG